ACUCAUACCUUCCAGGGGAAGUAUCAUGUCAUAAAAGUGGUUUUCCUAGGGGGAAACUCAUCCAUUGCAUUUUGGGUGUGCUGUGAUUUCCCCAAAUGGGGGGAACUCAACUGCAUAAUUUGUGUUAAUGGGAGAUUGCACUUGUGAUUUCCCU
rnacentral:snRNA from 1 species